AAGAAGAUGUGAGUUUUUUGUGUGAAUGCACGAUAAGAAAGAGAGGAACUCCAUCGCUGAUCAAGGUACACUUGAGGAAGAAGGAGAAGACGAAGCCGCUAAACAACUGAAGAUAUGAAGCUAAAGGGCUUUUGAAGACAAGCGAGUGAGACAUCCUGUUUGAAGACCACAGCCUUCUCUUCGUAGGGCCUCGGCACUCCAGCCAGGUCAAAGGUCGCCCCCGGAGCAAGAUGGCCGCCGGCGGUCCACCCUGCCUCCGUCUGCCGGCCCUGCUGCCCCUCAGCACUCUGUUGCUCUGUAUGCUGCUUACUGGCUUCCAUGCCUUAU
ensembl:lncRNA